GAUGAACGCUGGCGGCGUGCCUAAUACAUGCAAGUCGAGCGAACGGACGAGAAGCUUGCUUCUCUGAUGUUAGCGGCGGACGGGUGAGUAACACGUGGAUAACCUACCUAUAAGACUUGGAUAACUUCGGGAAACCGGAGCUAAUACCGGAUGAUAUUUUGAACCGCAUGGUUCAAAAGUUAAAGACGUUCUUGCUGUCACUUAUAGAUGGAUCCGCGCUGCAUUAGCUAGUUGGUAAGGUAACGGCUUACCAAGGCAACGAUGCAUAGCCGACCUGAGAGGGUGAUCGGCCACACUGGAACUGAGACACGGUCCAGACUCAUACGGGAGGCAGCAGUAGGGAAUCUUCCGCAAUGGGCGAAAGCAUGACGGAGCAACGCCGCGUGAGUGAUGAAGGUAUUCGGAUCGUAAAACUCUGUUAUUAGGGAAGAACAUAUGUGUAAGUAACUGUGCACAUCUUGACGGUACCUAAUCAGAAAGCCACGGCUAACUACGUG
rnacentral:rRNA from 1 species